GAUGAACGCUGGCGGCGUGCCUAAUACAUGCAAGUCGAGCGAACAGACGAGGAGCUUGCUCCUCUGACGUUAGCGGCGGACGGGUGAGUAACACGUGGAUAACCUACCUAUAAGACUGGGAUAACUUCGGGAAACCGGAGCUAAUACCGGAUAAUAUAUUGAACCGCAUGGUUCAAUAGUGAAAGACGGUUUUGCUGUCACUUAUAGCUGGAUCCGCGCCGCAUUAGCUAGUUGGUAAGGUAACGGCUUACCAAGGCAACGAUGCGUAGCCGACCUGAGAGGGUGAUCGGCCACACGGGAACUGAGGCACGGUCCAGACUCCUACGGGAGGCAGCAGUAGGGAAUCUUCCGCAAUGGGCGAAAGCCUGACGGAGCAACGCCGCGUGAGUGAUGAAGGUCUUCGGAUCGUAAAACUCUGUUAUUAGGGAAGAUCAAAAGUGUAAGUAACUAUGCACGUCUUGACGGUACCUAGUCAGAAAGCCACGGCUAACUACGUG
rnacentral:rRNA from 1 species